rnacentral:rRNA from 1 species
UAGAGUUUGAUCCUGGCUCAGGACGAACGCUGGCGGCGUGCCUAAUACAUGCAAGUAGAACGCUGAAAGAGAGGAGCUUGCUCUUCUUGGAUGAGUUGCGAACGGGUGAGUAACGCGUAGGUAACCUGCCUUGUAGCGGGGGAUAACUAUUGGAAACGAUAGCUAAUACCGCAUAACAAUGGAUGACACAUGUCAUUUAUUUGAAAGGGGCAAUUGCUCCACUACAAGAUGGACCUGCGUUGUAUUAGCUAGUAGGUGAGGUAAUGGCUCACCUAGGCGACGAUACAUAGCCGACCUGAGAGGGUGAUCGGCCACACUGGGACUGAGACACGGCCCAGACUCCUACGGGAGGCAGCAGUAGGGAAUCUUCGGCAAUGGGGGCAACCCUGACCGAGCAACGCCGCGUGAGUGAAGAAGGUUUUCGGAUCGUAAAGCUCUGUUGUAAGUCAAGAACGGGUGUGAGAGUGGAAAGUUCACACUGUGACGGUAGCUUACCAGAAAGGGACGGCUAACUACGUGCCAGCAGCCGCGGUAAUACGUAGGUCCCGAGCGUUGUCCGGAUUUAUUGGGCGUAAAGCGAGCGCAGGCGGUUUGAUAAGUCUGAAGUUAAAGGCUGUGGCUCAACCAUAGUUCGCUUUGGAAACUGUCAAACUUGAGUGCAGAAGGGGAGAGUGGAAUUCCAUGUGUAGCGGUGAAAUGCGUAGAUAUAUGGAGGAACCACCCGGUGGCGAAAGCGGCUUCUCUGGUCUGUAANCUGACCGCUGAGGCUCGAAAGCGUGGGGAGCGAACAGGAUUAGAUACCCUGGUAGUCCACGCCGUAAACGAUGAGUGCUAGGUGUUGGAUCCUUUCCGGGAUUCAGUGCCGAAGCUAACGCAUUAAGCACUCCGCCUGGGGAGUACGACCGCAAGGUUGAAACUCAAAGGAAUUGACGGGGGC